rnacentral:rRNA from 1 species
UGGGGGAUAUUGCACAAUGGGCGAAAGCCUGAUGCAGCGACGCCGCGUGGGGGAUGAAGGCCUUCGGGUUGUAAACUUCUUUUGCUCUGAACAAGGCAUGCUCUUGGGGUGUGUUGAGUGUAGGGGUUGAUUAGCGCCGGCUAACUACGUGCCAGCAGCCGCGGUAAUACGUAGGGCGCGAGCGUUGUCCGGAAUUAUUGGGCGUAAAGGGCUUGUAGGUGGCUGGUUGCGUCUGUCGUGAAAGCUCAUGGCUUAACUGUGGGUUUGCGGUGGGUACGGGCUGGCUUGAGUGCAGUAGGGGAGGCUGGAAUUCCUGGUGUAGCGGUGGAAUGCGCAGAUAUCAGGAGGAAUACCGGUGGCGAAGGCGGGUCUCUGGGCUGUUACUGACGCUGAGGAGCGAAAGCGUGGGGAGCGAACAGG